GAAUUCGCCCUUAGAGUUUGAUUUUGGCUCAGGACGAACGCUGGCGGCGUGCUUAACACAUGCAAGUCGAGCGGACGGAGUCCUUCGGGACGAAGUUAGCGGCGGACGGGUGAGUAACGCGUGAACAAUCUGUCCUAUACAGGGGGAUAACAAUCCGAAAGGAUUGCUAAUACCGCAUAAGACCACAGUGCCGCAUGGCAGAGGGGUAAAAGAAUCUAAUCGGUAUAGGGUGAGUUCGCGUCCGAUUAGUUAGUUGGUGAGGUAACGGCCCACCAAGGCGACGAUCGGUAGCCGAUCUGAGAGGAUGACCGGCCACAUUGGAACUGAGAGACGGUCCAAACUCCUACGGGAGGCAGCAGUGGGGAAUAUUGGGCAAUGGGCGAAAGCCUGACCCAGCAACGCCGCGUGAGGGAAGAAGGUUUUCGGAUUGUAAACCUCUGUCCUAAGGGAAGAAGGAAGUGACGGUACCUUAGGAGGAAGCCCCGGCUAACUACGUGCCAGCAGCCGCGGUAAUACGUAGGGGGCAAGCGUUGUCCGGAAUGACUGGGCGUAAAGGGCGUGUAGGCGGCCUGUUAAGUUAGGAGUGAAAAUCCUGUUUUCAAGGCGGGAAUUGCUUUUAAUACUGAUGGGCUUGAGUGCAGAAGAGGUAAGUGGAAUUCCCAGUGUAGCGGUGAAAUGCGUAGAGAUUGGGAGGAACACCAGUGGCGAAGGCGACUUACUGGGCUGUAACUGACGCUGAGGCGCGAAAGCGUGGGGAGCAAACAGGAUUAGAUACCCUGGUAGUCCACGCGGUAAACGAUGAA
rnacentral:rRNA from 1 species